rnacentral:rRNA from 1 species
AUUGAACGCUGGCGGCAGGCCUAACACAUGCAAGUCGAGCGAGCGGCGGACGGGUGAGUAAUGUAUGGGGACUGCCCGAUAGAGGGGGAUAACUACUGGAAAAGGUAGCUAAUACCGCAUACUAUCGGAUAACCCAUAUGGGAUUAGCUGGUGGGUGAGGUAAUGGCUCACCUAGGCGACGAGCCCUAGCUGGGCUGAGAGGAUGAUCAGCAAACCUGGGACUGAGACACGGCCCAGAGUCCUACGGAGGCAGCAGUGGGGAAUAUUGGACAAUGGGCGCAAGCCUGAUGCAGCCAUGCCGCGUGUAUGAAGAAGGUCCUAGGGUUGUAAAGUACUUUCAGUCGGGAGGCGUUACCGAAAGAAGAAGCACCGGAUAACUCCGUGCCAGCCGCCGCGGUAAUAC